UACAGAGGGGGCAAGCGUUGUUCGGAAUUACUGGGCGUAAAGGGCGCGUAGGCGGCCCGUCAAGUCCCGUGUGAAAGCCCCCGGCUCAACCGGGGAACGGCGCGGGAAACUAGCAGGCUUGAGUUCGGGAGAGGGAAGCGGAAUUCCGGGUGUAGCGGUGAAAUGCGGCAGAAUAUCCGGAGGAACACCGGUGGCGAAGGCGGCUUCCUGGACCGGACACUGACGCUGGAGGCGCGAAAGCUAGGGGAGCAAACGGGG
rnacentral:rRNA from 1 species